CCUGCAGCAUACUAGUCUCCUGCACAUAAACAACACCAGGAGGAACACAUUUACUUUCGGUUUCACUUCGAGGAGCGAAAUAUUGUGAGGAGGGGGAUGUUGGGGAUCCCAGCAGCUACACGGUGGACGUUUAGUUAAACACUGAAACCACCAGACACUGACGGCACGCAGAAGAGUGAGAAAGACAUCUGUGAGUGACCAGCGUGUUUGGAGAGCUGUCCUCGGCGCGUAAAAGAAAGGCGACACUCCAGCAGCGCAUCAGAGGAAACAUGCGGGGGAAAUGCCUGAACACGAGAAACAACACGAAGACACAGUUUUUAAUGGAGAUGUGUGAGUGACCAGCGUGUUUGGAGAGCUGUCCUCGGCGCGUAAAAGAAAGGCGACACUCCAGCAGCGCAUCAGAGGAAACAUGCGGGGGAAAUGCCUGAACACGAGAAACAACACUAAGACAGACAGUUUUUAAUGGUAAGCGAUGUGAACGGCUACUAAACCAUGGAAAAAUGCUGAGAGACUUCGCAGAUGUUGAAGAUGGAUGACCUAAUGCGCAUGGGUGUGCCUCUGUUCUCGUUGUUUUGUUUGGUGAUCUGGUGUUAUGGUGCCAUAUACACGUGAUUUCUUUUCAGUCUGAGGACAAACCGAUAAGAAACAGGGGACUUUCCACUGCGAAUGACCGGUGUUCUAGGGGAUUUUUAUUUUUAAAUUAUGCUUACUUUUGGCCAACUGUCUGGAAAUAUUCUAUCAUUUUAAAUAAGAAUACCCAGAACGAUGAUGUUGAUGAUAAAUGUUUGUUGAUAUGUCACUUAUAUUUAGACUAUAUUGCAAAAUUUGUAGUUGUGACCGAAAGUUCAUAAAAAAUAACCUCAAUAUAUUGUUGGAUUUUGACUAAUUUAGUGCAAAUGUUGUGACUCACAGCACAAAAACAUAGAAGAUAACAAUCUGAAAAGUAUAUUACAGUAUAAAAAUGUAAAGUAUAAAAGCACAGCAUUUAUAACAACUUGAUUUAUGCAAUAUUCAGCUUUUCUUAUGACCGGACAAACUCUUCAGGGUCCAGGUGUUAUCAGACUUUUUUGACAAACAAAAAGGAAUGCAGUCAAAAAAAGUGAUUCUAAACAAGAAUUGAAAAUGACAUUUAAAAAAAAUGCUUUCACUUUGGAUUUCAUAACUGUUAUAUUUUUAUGAUAUUUACAAAAAAUACAGCCUCCAAACUAAUAGAUGGUGUCAUAAUGAUAUAAAGUAUUAUGUACUGUAAAAACGAAAGGACUGCCCCCUCUCUGAUCUGGGUUAUAAAUAGAGUGAAUGUGAAAGGACUCUAGAGAAGGAUUGCAGCAUCGCCUCUGACACAAACAAAGCAAAGAAAAUGUGCAAAACCGACCAGAUCGUUCUCAGCUCUCACAUAGGUGAGAGGAGGACCAUCAACCUCCUGCACAAAACCAAGAAGCCCUUACCAAGUGUGACUGUACGCCAGCUGAAGACUGUAGCAGUGAAGGAGUUUCCUAAAUUAUCAGGACAGAGCAUGGAGGUUAUAAGGCUGGUCUAUGAAGCCAAGCCUCUGGAUAAAGAUUCUGCUCCUCUGUCCGAAUAUGGAGUCAAGGAUGGGGCAGUGGUCCAGAUGGUGAGGAAGGUCAACGGAGGUUGAUGGGGAGGCUGAGGCAUCAUCAUCAUUAUUAUUACCAUCUCCAUCAUAAUCAUCAUCAUCAUCAUCAUCAUCAUCAUCAUCAUCAUCAUCAUCAACAAAGACUAGAAGAAAACAGUGGACAUGUUAUUUUAGACAGAAACAUCAAGGAGUCGUAUAGUCUAAUCUGUGGCUUUUUUUUGAAUUUGCACUUUUCAAAUUUACAUUUUGACACAUUAAAUUGUGUUUUGUGGAGUUUAUCAACGUACACAAUUUAAGAUCAAAAAUGUAAUGUAAAAAGGAUCGCAGAUUCUAAAUGUGUGUGGAAGUUAAACAGAAGUCCUUACAAGAGCAAUGCUUCACCACUGGAUUUUUAAUAGUUUUUUGUUUGGCUGUUUAUUUAAUUGUUCAAACAAACAGUAAUAUUUGAUAUCAUGAUUUAUGAUACACCAGUGAUUGAACCAAUAUGAUUACCGUGAACCUAUAAAGUUAAUUUUUUUAUUAUAUAGUUGUAUUUUACUAGUACAGUGUGGAACCCUUGUUGAAUACUGUUGUUGAAUUAAAAAAAAAUGAAUAUUGACAUACAGUAAUGUUGCUGAUUAAUUUUUUCCCUAAAGAAAUAUCUAUGUCUCCAGUAAUAUUGAUCAGGAUCAGACAAAAGAAGUGUUUGUUAAAGCGCACCAUGCUUAAUAUUUCAUUUGAUAGUUCAUUUCUCACUUGACACUUGUUGCCAAAAAGUUUAGAGAUACCAAUUAGGACAGAUGCUGUGCUCUCUUUUACUGGCUAAAUGUUUUUAAUUAAUGCACGGCUCACAUUAGUAAAGUAAUCACCUGCUAAAUUUAUGAUAAAUAAAUGUGAAUUUAAAGGAUUUUGCAUAUUACAGCAACAUACUAUGCUGCAUAUGUAGUUCUAGUUUGUAUUGUGUCCAUCGUGGCUCUAAAUCGUCCAUUCCAAAUAACAUCAUAUCUCUGUUGUCUUUUCUUGUCUGCUGUAAUUUUGAAAUAGUUCAGCAUAGGAAAAACACAGAAAACACUGAAGCUGCUCACUGUGUAACGUUUAUGGAAUGACCCUGAGUUUUUAAUUUUCUAUCUGUUGCUUUCACUUUUUUUCUCAAGCAGUUAGAAGAAAUCACAUGACUGCUGAGUAGUUGUCUGGAUUGACUUUCAAAUGAUACUACUAUCACAGUCCACGUUUAUUGCCCUGAUGUAAAUUAAAUUAUUAAUUUAAAAGAUUUUGCAUAUUACAGUAAUAUACAAUGCUACAUAUAUAAUUUUUAUUUACAUUGUGUCCAUUGUGGCUCUAAAUCAUCCAGCCCAAAUAACAUUGUAUCUCUGGGUGUUGUCUUUUCUCGUCUGCAGUAAUCUUGAAAUAGUUCAGCGCAAGAAAUAAACAGGAAACACUGAAGCUGCUCAUUGUGUCACGUUUACAGAAAGCCCCGGAGUUUUGAAUUUUCUAUCUGUUGCUUUCACUUUCUUUCUCGAGCAGUUAUUGGAAAUCACAGGACUGCUGAGUAGUUGUCUGGACUGACUUUUAGACAAUAUUAUUAUCACAGCCUACUUUUCUUGUCCUGAUGUGAAGCACUGAGUGUCAUUGGAUUGUUUUCUGAAACAUUCAGUGGAGAGACAUUUUUGAAUCGAUGACAUGCGAUGGAAAGUACCUGAUUCACCACCUAGUGAGAGACCCUGGCUCCACUCCAUGAUGAGCUCAGUUUAUUGGCUAUUUGAUGAUUUCACUUUUGCUUUUGCAUGCUUGUGAAUACCUAAUUCACUAUUACUGGUAUAUGCAUUUCUCUCAAAAGAUUGAUAAAUUGCUUCACAGGAGUUUCAAUGAUCAUUCAGGGUAAUAAGUAGCAGAUACACAAACAUUGUUCUGGUUCCAUCCUGAACACUGAUGCUCAAAUAUUUGGUGGUUUCUAGUCUCCCUUCAGUCAAAGCAACAACAUUCCUACUGCAAGCUGCCAAGAUUUACCAAGAACAGUGUU